UGGAACGUUGCCGCUCAAAUGUCCAAAAGGCUGCAAAAUACAGCUGCUGCUGAGUGAGAGCGAGUAUUGACCUGAGAAGCGCACAGGUCGAAUAGAAAUAAAAGCUGAACUCUGUGCAAGUAACACCUUUCUGUGAAAAAAUGAUUAAAUUACUCUUACUGUAUAAAAAAUGUAGCUUUCGACGCGUUCCUAUUCACUCGCUUUCGUCCCUGCCUCCUACCGACGGCUUCUGCACAUUAAAGGAAAUAGGACAUUGCAUCAAAGUGAAGGCAAAGUGACUAUGUCAACUGAUGUGCUUUAUGGCGAUGGUAGCUUGCUGUGUGUUAAAACAGAUUCAGAAGAAAUAAUUAUGCACUCUUAACAUUCAGUGAUCUUGCUUCACAACACGACGACAAAAUUUUGAGCUCCGACAAGGGGUCAUCAUGAUAUCCGUAAUAAUGGCAUCCAAGAGCCAGGAUAUCAAAGGCCAUGCUUUUGCCGUGCUUCGGGCGUCUGAAAACUGCUAACAUCAUAGCCGCCACGCUUUGGACAUGUAUUUGACUAUAAAAAUAGUACUACAAUGUGCUUCACCGCUGGGCGCCAGGGAGCAAAGCUUUGUCUUUGAAAGCAGCAAGUACUAAAGGAUGCUCUUGCGCAAAAUAGAAUAACCACAUAAUUUACCCAAUAUGAUAUUAUUUUUCUAUGUUUCUUUAAUUUCGAGGAAUGAGUCGGUUUUCAGAACAAUAAUUGUCUCGAAAGAUGAAACCAUACAGCCCCUAAAUGCCCAACAAAAUUGAGCUGGCUGUCUUGUCAGUUUUUUUUUUUUUUUCAACCUCGGCCAAGGGGUACAUUCCUCCCUCUAAGUGCAGUUCCCAGAAGGGGUGCGUACACGAAAGCCGGCCACAGCUUUCACCGAGAGGCGACGAAUGUGUAGGUGUGAGUCAACCAUCCCAAGGAAGUAAGGGAGGGAGGGGGGGGGGGGCAUGUUUCGGCUAAAGGAGGGGCUUUAGUUCCGCGGCGGUCAAGGCGAAGCAGGUGGAUGGAAAGAAUGUCACAUGCCUCUCCCGCGCAUGCGCACAAAUUUGACACUUGGCCGAGUCGAGGCAAUGAGGGAGACCAUCGCAAUCGCCAUCAGUUCCUUUGCGACGCCGGCAUGGUACGGUCGAGCGAUGUAGGUGUUUCGUGGCGUAUCUUAGCAGCAAUCUAGCUGUUUUUGCUGCUAUUUAUUCUUAUGAUGUGUUGUGGCUAAUUCAUCGAUGCAAGCCAACCAGCAAGGUGUUUGCGAAGCCCACGGUGCUUUCUUCGUUCCGUGCUGUGAGCGUUUCUGGAACUUCUCUGCCAGCUGCGAUGCAGUGUCGUGUGAAGUGAUCUAAUAUUGGCACUGUCCGUGUUUUAAACUGCACAAAUAGCGAACAGCUGUUCCUCAAGACUGCUAUGCGCCGAAGUUUUCUCUAUCUCCAAAUUAUAAUAAAAGGGUUGGUUCAUUCUGCAAACAUUCUGAGACAUCAGCUAUGAAUGUAAAAAAUACAUUAUAAUCGAUGCUUGCUAGAGAUUAUGCGACAGCUGCCCUGCCGUAAUCAACUAAGUCAUCAUUCAUUUAUUAUUUUUAUUAAUUUCUCUACUACUUCUCUCACAAUUCUGUGCAAAUAUUUUUGUGUGAAUAAACUUCUUUCAGUGCAAA